rnacentral:rRNA from 1 species
AGGAUGAACGCUAGCGGCGCGCUUAACGCAUGCAAGUCGAGCGAUGAGGCUCCCUUCGGGGGGUACAUCAGCGGCAGACGGGUGAGUAACACGUAGGUAACCUGCCCUCAAGACGGGGAUAACGCCUGGAAACGGGCGCUAAUACCGGAUGACCUUAGUUGGGGAAGCACCGGCUAAGGAAAGGCAAUAGCGCUUGAGGAGGGGCCUGCGGCCCAUCAGUUAGUUGGUAGGGUAACGGCCUACCAAGGCGAAGACGGGUAGGGGGUGUGAGAGCACGGCCCCCCACACUGGGACUGAGACACGGCCCAGACUCCUACGGGAGGCAGCAGCGGGGAAUAUUGCGCAAUGGACGGAAGUCAGACGCAGCGACGCCGCGUGGGUGAAGAAGGCCUUCGGGUUGUAAAGCCCUUUUCUGUGGGAAGAGGAAGGACGGUACCAUAGGAAUAAGCGUCGGCUAACUACGUGCCAGCAGCCGCGGUAAGACGUAGGACGCGAGCGUUAUCCGGAUUUACUGGGCGUAAAGCGUGUGUAGGCGGCGUGACAAGUUGGGCGUGAAAGCCCCGUGCUCAACGCGGGGAGGCCGCACAAUACUGUCAGGCUAGAGGGCAUCAGAGGGGUGUGGAAUUCCCGGAGUAGCGGUAAAAUGCGCAGAUAUCGGGAGGAACACCGGUGGCGAAAGCGGCACCCUGGGGUGCACCUGACGCUGAGAGACGACAGCUAGGGGAGCGAACAGGAUUAGAGACCCUGGUAGUCCUAGCCGUAAACGAUGGAUGCUAGGUGUGGGAGUGAAGAACUUCUGUGCCGCAGCGAACGCGAUAAGCAUCCCGCCUGGGGAGUACG